rnacentral:tRNA from 3 species
CAUAGCUCAGUCGGUAGAGCACCUGACUGUUAAUCAGGGUGUCACUGGUUCAAGUCCAGUUG